UACCGAGGUCCCAAGCGUUGUUCGGAUUCACUGGGCGUAAAGGGCGCGUAGGCGGCCCGCACAGUUCUGCGGUGAAAACCCCCGGCUUAACCGGGGGCCGGCCGUGGAAACUGUCGGGCUGGAGGCUGGGAGAGGGCAGCGGAAUUCCCGGUGUAGCGGUGAAAUGCGUAGAGAUCGGGAGGAACACCGGCGGCGAAGGCGGCUGCCUGGACCAGACCUGACGCUGAGGCGCGAAAGCUAGGGGAGCAAACAGG
rnacentral:rRNA from 1 species